rnacentral:rRNA from 1 species
GACGAACGCUGGCGGCGUGCUUAACACAUGCAAGUCGAACGGUAAGGCCUUUCGGGGUACACGAGUGGCGAACGGGUGAGUAACACGUGGGUGAUCUGCCCUGCACUUCGGGAUAAGCCCGGGAAACUGGGUCUAAUACCGGAUAGGACUGCGCGGUGCAUGCCGUGUGGUGGAAAGAUUUAUCGGUGCAGGAUGGGCCCGCGGCCUAUCAGCUUGUUGGUGGGGUAAUGGCCUACCAAGGCGACGACGGGUAGCCGGCCUGAGAGGGCGACCGGCCACACUGGGACUGAGACACGGCCCAGACUCCUACGGGAGGCAGCAGUGGGGAAUAUUGCACAAUGGGCGCAAGCCUGAAGCAGCGACGCCGCGUGAGGGAUGACGGCCUUCGGGUUGUAAACCUCUUUCAGCAGGGACGAAGCGUGAGUGACGGUACCUGCAGAAGAAGCACCGGCCAACUACGUG